UGCAGUCUCUUUCUGGUCCAUCUCCCAGCCGUCUCUCACCCCCCAUCUUUCUCUCUCGGCUGCAUCUCGUCUCUCUCCCCCAUCUUUCUCUCUCGGCCGCAUCUCAUCUCUCUCCCACCACACCGCGCACCACCGGGCGCCGGACACGGCCAGUAUCCGUCUUGCCGCCAGUCGCCGCUAGGUCUCUCUUUCCCGCUGGCUGAUCCAUCCGCCGGUCGCCGACGGCAUGCAGUCCCAUCGGCCGGUGACCGCUGCGCGGGGCUGCUCUGUCCCGGCGGCUGCGCGAGGAUAGCAAUCCCUCCGGCCGGUGACCGCUGCGCGGGGCUGCUCUGUCCCGCCAGCUGCGCGAGGAUAGCAGUCCCUCCGGCCGGUGACCGCCGUUGUGCCUGGCCUACGCUUAUCUGCCGGCCACAGGCAGCUGGGGCUGCGCUGCCCCGCCGGCUGCCAACGCCAGCCGACCUUCAGAUCCGCUGGCUAGGUUGGCUGCCAACAGCCGGCGAGAGUCCCCUCUCCUUCCUCCGGUCCGGUGCACAGGACUGCCGGUGCACAGCUAGGAGUAGCUGCUAGCGGUAUCAGGCAGGUUCCCCUCAUCUCUGCUCUAAAUUGGCUGCUCUAUCUCUCUCUACUCUGUUGCUUCGGACCACCAGCUGCCAGUCUACUCGCACUCAAGUCACUGCCCACCCACCAGCAGAGCCGUACAGUGUUGGAGUGAGUGCGGACGGACGCGACUGCGUGGCGAUGGGACACCACCUCAGCACGCAGAGGCCUCCUCUCAUCUCCAUGGAUGGCGCAUGCCGUUCCCUCGCGUACGUCGUCAACCGGCCGGCGGCCACGAGUAUAAAUUCACCCGUGCGCAACGCGACGCCGGGGAGAUCCAAGGUCAAGACAUGGCAGGAAAUGACAUUAUGAAGGAGUUGGCAGCUUCACAACACCACUGGAUUACAGAUCAAGAACUCAUAAGUGUCAAUGAUUAGUGUGCUGUUAAUUUAUCCCAUUUCAGAUUGGCAAAUAAAGAGACGGUUUAAAUAAUAGUAGAAUGAUAUGACAUUGUUCAUAGUUAAGACAUUACAGAAUAUGACAUUGUGCUGUAGUGGGUAGGUUCACCACACCACUGGAUUACGGAUGAAGAAUAGAAACAUACAUGCAGUGCAAAAGAAGAUCACUUGCUCUGUAUAGUUUAAUUUACAUGGUAUGAAGAAGGAACUUGGUUGUACAACUGAAAACUUAAAUUGAGAAGGACAAACUUUUGUUUAUGAACUACAUAAUAAACUUUAAACAUGCAAUUUGAUGCAAACACCAAAAAUAAACAGCUGUUGCAGUCAUGCCUAACCAAAUAUACACAACAAAGUUUGAAGGCUUGAGAAGGAUAAACAUACAUUAUUGGUGAAUACAUGCUCUAUAAAGCCCUUGUCUAUGCUGAUGGGGGGGCAAUUCAAGAAGUUUACCAUAGAAUCUUCUUCAUAAGCAUUGCCUUUAUUCUACAUUUUGUUAAGAGUAAAUAUAGAUGUGAUAAUAUACGAAAAAAUGGAGAAUAUUUAAGAUAAGAUGAAGAGUGAUGCUACAUAACCAAGUAGCUAUAAAUGUAAGUGCAGCGAUACAGGCAAAAG